AUUCCAGCUCCAUGAGAAUAUAUCAAAUUUGUUGCAGUUGAAAAGCUCGUAGUUGAAUUUCUGGCCGUUUGUCGUUUGUUUGUUUGGAGCAAUCCAGGCAGAUUGGGCGAUGGCGGUCAUCUUGUUUCUUUUUUCUAAAGGAAACUCAGUCACUGAGAGUAAAUUGGAAUGCUUAAAGUAGGUCUGACGACUUUGAACAUUCAAGCUUGGGAUGACAAACACGACAAGAGCGACUUUGUUGGUUAAUCACUCCUGUAAUGAUUAAAAGGAACAGUUUGCGGGGUGACUUGUAUUGGACAGCUAGAGGUGAAAUUCUUAGAUUUGUUCAAGAUAAACGACUGCGAGAGCAUUUCACCAGAAUGUUUUCAUUG
rnacentral:rRNA from 1 species